CUCAACCGUAAAAUUGCCAUUGAUACUGUUAUUCUUGAGUAUGGUUGAGGUAGGCGGAAUGAGUAAUGUAGCGGUGAAAUGCUUAGAUAUUACUCAGAACACCGAUUGCGUAGGCAGCUUACCAAGCCAUCACUGACGCUGAGGCACGAAAGCGUGGGUAGCAAACAGGAUUAGAUACCCUGGUAGUCCACGCCGUAAACGUUGAUUACUCGUUGUUGGCAAUACACCGUCAGCGACUGAGCAAAAGCAUUAAGUAAUCCACCUGGGGAGUACGUCAGCAAUGAUGAAACUCAAAGGAAUUGACGGGGGCCCGCACAAGCGGAGGAACAUGUGGUUUAAUUCGAUGAUACGCGAGGAACCUUACUUGGGCUUAAAUGUUUAGUGAUCGACCGGGAGACCGGUUUUUCCUUCGGGACACUUUACAAGGUGCUGCAUGGUUGUCGUCAGCUCGUGCCGUGAGGUGUCGGGUUAAGUCCCAUAACGAGCGCAACCCCUAUCGCCAGUUGCCAGCACAUAAUGGUGGGAACUCUGGUGAAACUGCCGGUGCACACCGUGAGGAAGGUGGGGAUGACGUCAAAUCAGCACGGCCCUUAUGUCCAGGGCUACACACGUGUUACAAUGGUCGGUACAACAGGAUGCCAAUCCGCAAGGAUGAGCUAAUCCCAAAAGCCGAUCUUAGUUCGGAUCGGAGUCUGCAAUUCGACUCCGUGAAGUUGGAUUCGCUAGUAAUCGCAGCUCAGCCAUGCUGCGGUGAAUACGUUCCCGGGCAUUGUACACACCGCCCGUCAAGCCAUGGAAGCCGGGGGUGCCUGAAGUCCGUAACCGUAAGGAGCGGC
rnacentral:rRNA from 1 species